rnacentral:lncRNA from 1 species
AGAAGGCAGAGGUAUUUGUACCAAUUCCCUGACCGCACAGGUAGUCAAAAUACACGCAAGGAGGGUUGAUGAACUCUGCCAGCUUAAUGCAGCAGUUAACAAAUCUGCCAUCCUGGUGAUAUUUCUUGUCGGUCACGAACGCCUUCACAAGCUGCUCCAGGAGACGCGGCAGGCGCUUCUGUUUUUCCUGCGGCGGGAGAGAGCCCUCUACCCACUGCACGUACCUGUCCCAUGGCUCCAGCGGGUCGCUCCCUUGGUAGUUUUGGAUCUGCGCCUCGUAACUUCGCGCGAUCUUCUCCACAUCCAUCCCUGCACCACCC